CAAAUUAAAAUUUAUCAACAGCAAUAAUGGAAAAAAUCUAUUGGUUAUGUUCAAUAAUAUUAUGUUAAAUAAUGUACCUUCAGUCAUUUUUCAGUUUUAUAAAUUUGCUUCACAGAGAAAGAAAUGGACAUUUCCAAUAAGCUUUACAUUUGUGUAGGGAAGCAAAUUAUCCCUAAAGCUUCCUUCUUCAUCCCUCUAGAUUAGAGACAUGAUUGUCUUUGAAACAGAGGAAGUUUCUGGUGUGUUUAAGAAUGUUGUGCUCUUUUAUACACAUAGAUGGCAGCAAAGAAUUAGACAAAGGAAGUGAACCUUGCAGUUGUAGUGAAAGAUGAGUGACAGUACAAACUGACUCCAUCAGCAUAGCUGCCUGUGUCUCAUACUUAAACAUAAAAUAAGAAAGAAAGCUACUAUUGAUAACACAAGAAUAUAGGAGAACGAAGAAGGCUCUGAGAAGCUGUAAUACACGGAAUUUCUGGACAAAUCCCAGCAGAGACCCCUUCCUGGACUUUGCCCCAGUGGAUGGACAGGAAACUGCCAGCCAUGCUGGCCACCACAACCAACUUUCACUGCCUGGCUCCUAGCAACCCCACUCUCUCCAUCUCCUGGCUGAAGAACCGCAAGAGGUCUAAGGAGAGCAGCACAUCAGGAUAUUGAGGUGGGCCUGGAAGUUGGUGGGAGUGUGGGCUGGAUGUGGAAGGUGGGACCUGUCUUUUGCUUACAUGUCCUUCCACCUGGAGCUAUGGCACCAGAAGUAGACUCUGAUCAUGGAGUGUGGUGCCCUCAGACUGCUUUCAUCCCACCUCUGUGAUGAAGAACAAGUGCAGCAGCCUUCAGCAGACAUGCAUGCUGGACAGCUGGGACUGCUGACCAACCAGAUGUAGUAAGGUGAAAUUCCACUGCAAAGUGUAUGGCAACUUAGUAUGUGGAGGUGAACAACAGCAAGUAUCUCUUACCAUCCGGCCCAGGCAGCAGCCAGCACUGCCUGGGCCGCGGCCGCCGGCCUCAUGAGCCUGGCAUUCCUGUCACCCAUUCUCCCCAUAGCUUGCCUCCUCCUUCUCACAGUCCGGCGCCCCGCUCCUCGAGACGCAGGACCACCUCAGAUCUCCAGUCCUGCACCUGCCGGCUGAGCAAAUGAGGAGACGGGGAGAAAAGCUGUCUGUCGUUCCUGAAGGAACAGGACCUCCGCACUCCAAGAAGGAAUCGGGCGCCCAGUGGGGGCUGCAGGAGCAGAGGACGGUGGCGGCAGUAGCAGCAGAGGCAGGAGUAGGACCAGUGGCUUCUCUGGAGGUGGCACUGUCUGCCCCCUUGAGCCUCUUCCUAACGCAGUCUUGAUUCAAAAUCCCUGCUCACC